GACGAACGCUGGCGGCGUGCUUAACACAUGCAAGUCGAACGGAAAGGCCCCAGCUUGCUGGGGUACUCGAGUGGCGAACGGGUGAGUAACACGUGGGUGAUCUGCCCUGCACUCUGGGAUAAGCCUGGGAAACUGGGUCUAAUACCGGAUAGGACCGUGCUUUAGUGUGUGCGGUUGAAAGAUUUUCGGUGCAGGAUGAGCCCGCGGCCUAUCAGCUUGUUGGUGGGGUAAUGGCCUACCAAGGCGGCGACGGGUAGCCGGCCUGAGAGGGUGUACGGCCACAUUGGGACUGAGACACGGCCCAGACUCCUACGGGAGGCAGCAGUGGGGAAUAUUGCACAAUGGGCGCAAGCCUGAUGCAGCGACGCCGCGUGGGGGAUGACGGCCUUCGGGUUGUAAACCCCUUUCGGCAGGGACGAAGCUUUUGUGACGGUACCUGCAGAAGAAGCACCGGCUAACUACGUG
rnacentral:rRNA from 1 species